AGAGUUUGAUCAUGGCUCAGAUUGAACGCUGGCGGCAGGCCUAACACAUGCAAGUCGAGCGGCAGCGGGAAAGUAGCUUGCUACUUUUGCCGGCGAGCGGCGGACGGGUGAGUAAUGCCUGGGGAUCUGCCCAGUCGAGGGGGAUAACAGUUGGAAACGACUGCUAAUACCGCAUACGCCCUACGGGGGAAAGGAGGGGACCUUCGGGCCUUUCGCGAUUGGAUGAACCCAGGUGGGAUUAGCUAGUUGGUGGGGUAAUGGCUCACCAAGGCGACGAUCCCUAGCUGGUCUGAGAGGAUGAUCAGCCACACUGGAACUGAGACACGGUCCAGACUUCUACGGGAGGCAGCAGUGGGGAAUAUUGCACAAUGGGGGAAACCCUGAUGCAGCCAUGCCGCGUGUGUGAAGAAGGCCUUCGGGUUGUAAAGCACUUUUAGCGAGGAGGAAAGGUUGGCGCCUAAUAUGUGUUAACUGUGACGUUACUCGCAGAAGAAGCACCGGCUAAUUUUGUGCCAGCAGCCGCGG
rnacentral:rRNA from 1 species